GUCACUUCUCUGUAAUAUUCCUAAGAGAAAAAAAUGUUAUCUGUUCUUACCAGUUUAAUAAAUGAUAUGUCCUCUAUCUAAGGAUAAUUAGAUGCAUUCAUUGGAAAUAGGAGAUAUGAUAGGAACUUGCUUUGUCUGCUGCUUGAAUCAACCUGAUAUUGAAGUAACUCCAGAAAUAGAGUACCCUCC